GAUUCCCUAAGUAGCGGCGAGCGAAAAGGGACCAGCCCAGCGCACAAUCUCCUCGGCUACCAAGCCGGCGGCGAAAUUUUGCGUAUAGGGACAGUCUAUAUAGCCGCGCACACCCGUCUGAUGUGCCUAACCGUGAUCUGAAAUGUUCACACUAGUUGGGUACUAAAUCUUUCGGGGUUUACGCUCAAUACGUUGUUCCAUGGAGGGUGCAAGACCCGUAUGGCCGCGUGAGUGUGUGCUUUGGCUAGACUAUCCCUGAGAGUCGCGUUGUUUGAACUUACAGCGCUAAGCAGGAGGUAAACUCCUCCUAAGGCUAAAUACGUCCACAGAACCGAUAGCUAACAAGUACCGCGAGGGAAAGUUGAAAAGCACUCUGGAAAGAGGGUGACAAGACCGUGAGACCGUCCAGGGUAAAAGCCGGUAACAAGUAUCCUAGUUGCGCUGGGGCACGGCUUUGCGGCCGUAGACAGAGGCUUGCGUAUGGCGUUGACUGGUUAGGCCUUUCGGGGUGUCAGUUGCGUCUACGCGUAAAGAGCCUUUGUCUUUAGUCCAUUAACAGCCCACCGCGAUCCUUGCGAGUUGUGAUUCGUGGUAUCUGAAGCGUUGCUCUGCGUUCGCGAAGGGCUUAGUCUGUCGGAUGUUGUGAUGGACGGUGCACCUAGUAGGUUUCGAAAGGUCCCGUCGUGUCGCAAGUGGUACACUACCCAUCCUGAGGCGAUGUCUGAGCGUUAGAGUGCGCCUAAGCUGCCAAUACGAUUAUGAUCAUCUGCGAGGUUUGUCUGGACUCUCCUUCGUUCUCUUUUGAGCGUCGGUAGUUUCGGUGGUCGUCCUAGGUGUUAUCGGUCACGUCUCGAAACACGGGCCAAGGAGCAUAGCGUAAAGCCAAGUCAAAGGGUUUCUCGAAACCUCGUGGCGACAGUGAAAGCGAUCGGUCGGGGCUUGCCCCGUCAGUGGAUGAGCCUAGAGAUACCUCGAAGCUCGUCCCGGUCUACACAAGGUUGAUCCUCGAGUUCUUCACGGAACGAAGAGGCGCAAACCUCAGGUCUGUUCAUAGUACAUUUUUGUCGGAGCGGACACUGCGUAGGCUUUAAGCUAUGACCCGAAAGAUAGUGAACUAUGCUUGGCGAAGACGAAGCCCCAGGAAACUGUGGUGGAAGUCUGUAGCCGUUUUGACGUGCAAAUCAAUGGUGUCAGCUGAGCAUAGGGGCGAAAGACCAAUCGAACUAUCUAGUAGCUGGUUCCACUCGAAGUUUCUCUCAGGAUAGCAUGAGUGACUUACACGCUGGUGUCUGGACUCUAGCGCACGUAAGCGUGCUGGUAGUUCGUCCGGUGGCUGCAGUUGUUGAUAGUUGUCGAGCAAGAGAACUCUUUGACCUCAUUCUGCAUCAGACCGUGAGCGUAUCUCUUUGAGACCGUGAGCAGUUACGUCUGGUAAAGAGAAUGAGUAGAGUUGGCUCGUUGCUUUCAUAGCAACAGCAGCGGGGCGUCCUACGCCUCGCACUAUUAUCAAACUUUAAAUGGGCGAGGUACUCGGUAUUGACUUAAUUGCUUGAUACCGGGGCGAAACACGUCGUGGCUCACGCUGGGGCGAAGGUGAAUGCGUGCAUUCAUAGUGGGUCCUUUCUGGUAAGCAGAACUGAUAAUGAGGGAUGAACCUAACGCAUAUGCUAAGGCGCCAAACAGACAGCUAUUUCUCGAAACCAUUGAAAAGGUGUUGCUUGCUGAAGACAGCAGGACGGUGGUCAUGGAAGUCGAUAUCCGCUAAGGAGUGUGUAAUUACUCAUCCUGCCGAAGCGAGUAACCCUGAAAAUGGAUGGCUCUAUAGCUCUCGGCCGAUGCAUAGCCAUCAAUGGCAAUCGAUUCACAUUGUGUCUCCAAGCCUUGAUGAGUAGAGUGGUGUGCUGCAUGCGUAGACGAUCGUCUCGUGAGAGUGAUCUGAGCGUGCAGCAGUACAGAUCUUGGUGGUAGUAGCAAGUACUCUGGUGAAUAACCUUGAGCUGUGAGGUUGAUAAGGGUUCCAUGUCAACAGUGUUUGUACAUGGGUAAGUCGGUCCUAAGCUCUCACUAUUCCUAGUGAUAAUGGCGAUAAAACAGUUGUCUGUGAUUGUGUGUUGCUAUACGGGAGUCUCUCGUGUGUAUUCAUUCACUCGCGAACGGUAGCGUCUUAUCGGAGCGGUUUAGUCUGGUAGUGGUGACGCUUUGAUCCUAGUAGUUUGUGUGUUUGAUCCGUGAGCUCUCCCCGGCGUAAUUCUCACUAACACGUGUCGACGACUGCUUCGCUCGUGGCGAAAGGGAACUACGGACUCAGUUCGUAGACUGCACCUGGUACCCUGAGACGGUUUACCGACUCACGGACCUGGCAUCAGCUUGCCAGGCCAGUCGCUGUCAUGAAUACUCCGGCGGGGAGAUUUCUUCUCUCCUUGAUAUAGAUGGUGUCCUGAAAAGACCUAGAGUCGCGGAAGGACGAUGCUGUCUAGCAGAGUACUCUACUCCUUCGAGUAGAAUUCGGUGGUAUUCAUGAUCCGUGAAAAGGUGGUCGAGGGGAAUGUAUACGAGCUUCAGACUCUAUGUCUGUUGCGAGUGUCGCACUUUACUCGAGUGUUAACCAGGGCGCAGCCGUACCCAUAUCCGCAUCCGG
rnacentral:rRNA from 1 species